rnacentral:rRNA from 1 species
AUACGGAGGAUCCGAGCGUUAUCCGGAUUUAUUGGGUUUAAAGGGAGCGUAGGUGGAUUGUUAAGUCAGUUGUGAAAGUUUGCGGCUCAACCGUAAAAUUGCAGUUGAAACUGGCAGUCUUGAGUACAGUAGAGGUGGGCGGAAUUCGUGGUGUAGCGGUGGAAUGCUUAGAUAUCACGAAGAACUCCGAUUGCGAAGGCAGCUCACUAGACUGUUACUGACACUGAUGCUCGAAAGUGUGGGUAUCAAACAGGAUUAGAUACCCUGGUAGUCCACACAGUAAACGAUGAAUACUCGCUGUUUGCGAUAUACAGUAAGCGGCCAAGCGAAAGCAUUAAGUAUUCCACCUGGGGAGUACGCCGGCAACGGUGAAACUCAAAGGAAUUGACGGGG